rnacentral:other from 1 species
CGUGCUCUACGGCGUUCGUGGAUGCUCUUAUAUUUCUUGAGCCGAUAAUCUUCUUUAGGGAACUAACCUUGGUGCUGUGUGCAUGUCCGCACGACGGAAAGCCUAAUGCACUAAUUGCUGUUCCCACUUGAACCGUUGGGUUCGAGAAGAGUGAGCGUUGCGGCGCAGGUGGAGUACGC